rnacentral:rRNA from 1 species
AGCGGCGGACGGGUGAGUAACGCGUGGGUGACCUGCCCCGUACCGGGGGAUAACAGCUGGAAACGGCUGCUAAUACCGCAUAAGCGCACAGAGCUGCAUGGCUCGGUGUGAAAAACUCCGGUGGUAUGGGAUGGGCCCGCGUCUGAUUAGGCAGUUGGCGGGGUAACGGCCCACCAAACCGACGAUCAGUAGCCGGCCUGAGAGGGCGACCGGCCACAUUGGGACUGAGACACGGCCCAA